UACGGAGGGUGCAAGCGUUAUCCGGAUUCACUGGGUUUAAAGGGUGCGUAGGUGGGCAGGUAAGUCCGUGGUGAAAUCUCCAAGCUUAACUUGGAAACUGCCGUGGAUACUAUCUGUCUUGAAUACCGUGGAGGUGAGCGGAAUAUGUCAUGUAGCGGUGAAAUGCUUAGAUAUGACAUAGAACACCAAUUGCGAAGGCAGCUCACUACACGCUUAUUGACACUGAGGCACGAAAGCGUGGGGGAUCAAACAGG
rnacentral:rRNA from 1 species